rnacentral:lncRNA from 1 species
CGGGUGCUGGUGGCCGCUCAGUCGUCCCUUUCCCGCAGCCGGGGAGCCCGCCCCGCCGCCCCCUGCUCCCUCCGGGACACCAUGGAGCUCUCCCCGUCGUCCGGAGGAGCCGCGGAGGCGCUGUCGUGGCCGGAGAUGUUCUCGGGGCUGGAGUCUGACUCGCCGCUGCCCCCGGAGGAUCUGGACGCUGUCGUCCCAGUCAGCGGGGCAGUGGCCGGUGGCAUGCUGGAUCGGAUCCUUCUGGAGUCGGUGUGUCAGCAGCAGAGCUGGGUCCGGGUGUAUGAUGUAAAAGGACCACCCACCCAUCGUCUGUCUUGUGGUCAGUCACCCUACACUGAGACAACAUCAUGGGAAAGAAAGUACUGCAUCCUCACAGACAGCCAGUUAGUGUUGCUCAACAAGGAGAAGGAGAUACCUGUGGAAGGACAGGAGCAACAGACAGAUUCCACCAAAGGGCGAUGUCUGAGGAGAACUGUCAGUGUCCCUUCAGAGGGUCAGUUUCCUGAGUACCCACCAGAGGGCACCGCUAAACUAGAGGUACCAGCAGAAAGGUCCCCCCGCAGACGGAGCAUCUCAGGGACCAGCACUUCAGAGAAACCCAAUUCCAUGGACACUGCGAAUACCUCCCCUUUCAAAGUACCAGUAAGUAUUGCUUUCCACUAAAUAUAUAUAUACAUGUGUGUGUGUGUGUGUGUGUGUGUGUGUGUGUGUGUAUGUAUGUAUAGUUCCUGAAGAAUUUCAUUGCAAUACUGAAGAUAAAGGCCAGAAGUAUAAAUUUCUAUUGAUUGUGAAUCAUAUCCAGUAUGAGAUUUAUUAGAUUUUAAGGAAUACUAUUUUUGUUGGUGGGCUAAUUAAAAAAAACUAAGUACCUUAAAUCUGAAUUUUUCUGAAUUAU